rnacentral:lncRNA from 1 species
AUCCUCACAUAUUUUUCAUUUAUUUCAUUUAUUUAAUGAAUGAAAAUCUCUCAAUUUCACAAAAACGCUGAUGGUUUCAAAACUAGGGUUAUUUUUAUUUCCAACAAAGACCUCAGCACACUAAAAAGUACUUAAAUACACCAUGUAAUAGAAUAUACAAUACAGUAGAUAAAUAGCUAUUCCAGAUAAGAUUUGAUUUAAAAAAAACAAAACAACAAUCACCAGUUUAUUACAUAUUACACUUGUUUAUGCUCAUAAAUCAUGAAUUUAGUGACUCAGAAAAGGUUUUUCAUAUCUUUGGUGAUUUAAAUUUAUGACAGUGGGGCAUAUUUGUAUAUUUUGUAUAUAUUAUGACAUUCUUAAUCUUGUGAGUUUUUUCUUAAAAAUGUCAGUUUUAUUCUUAAAAUUAGCUUUGUUUAUUUCAGUUUGACCCUAAAAUGCUCUCGUGUCAGCUGAAAACGUCUGGUACAAGAUAUUAAUCAAUCAUUUUAAAACUGUCAAUAGUGAUAACGUGUAUUCUCUCUAACACACAGUACAGACACAUUUCUCGUCAUUUUGGCUCAAACUACACCUUAAAUUUGAGUUCUUCUUGCCAAUUUGUAUAUUUUUGUCAUUUUCAAGUGCUUUACACCUAUUAUUUAUCCGUUCACUUUCUUCAUAUUUCAGCUGAACACUCUUUGUUAACACAAACAUGUUUCAUUUGACUGGAUAAACCAGUUUGAAACAAUUGAAACAGGGAGAAUAAGUAGUGAUUUAUGAGUGAAAAUGGGAACGUGUGACAUACGAUGCCUGUUUUCAGCAGAAACUCAUGCUUGUUUUUUCUUUGGGUGGGGUGUGUGACUGUUUUUUUGUUUUUUUCACACACAGGCUGAAAAAGUAUGAAAAACAUCAGGAAACAGACUCUACGCUCCACAGGGGGGGGGUGUGUGUGUGUGUGUGUGUGUGUGUGUGUUGGAUUCAGACUAGCCACUUAUUCCCACGAUUCAGAAGUCUUUUUCACCCCCAGUUUUCUUUUCCCUGCUGUUGAAAUAAGAAAAACCGACUAAAGAACACAAAGAAAGCUCUUUUUUUUUUUUUUUUUACACAACACUGGAGGGUUUUCAACAUGAGGGUGAAAAAUGGGAAUGGUUUCAGCUCAUUCCAUCCUGAAACAUGUCCAUUAACCUGUGCUAUAGGACAGGGGGUCGCCAGAUGCCUUCAAGAAUGUUUUCUGAACAAUUUGAACCAAUUUGUGUUCAUUUUUUUACCAUUUUUCUGCAGCUACACCAAACUCACCAUAUUUUAACCUAUUUUCAUCACUUUUUCUUGCCAUAUUUUUGCACCUUUUAGUGUAUUUUUGCUACAUUCCUCCCAUUUCUGACACUUCUACAUCACAUUUCAAUUCCUUUUCUGCACUUUUUUCCAAUUUCAAGACAUGUUCAGCACUUAUAAACCAUUUCCACCACUUUUCCACCUAAUGUCGCAUAUGUUGACACAUUAUUGUCACUUUUAACCUCUUUUCACCAUAUUUCAUGCUGACUUUUGCCAAUUUAACUACAUUCACAAUUUGUCAUUCCCAUUAUUUGCCAGUUUAAACUAAUUAUUCCUCAUUUUUAAAUUACAUUAUACCCCGCCCCCCAUUUCUGCCAAUACAAUAUUGACACUUAGAACCUUUUUUUAAAUUUUUUUUUUACCACUUUUUUGUCUCUAAUUUGCAACGUUCUUACCAAUAUCUGUUUUUUAAAAAUCCCAUUUCACCACCUUUUGCACCAUUUUUGGUCACUUUUAACCCGUUUUAUUUCUGAUUAAAAUAAGGAUUUACAUCUAUGAUUAUAUAAUAUGGUGCAAAUAAUAAUAAACGUUCCUGGAUAACAGUAGAUAUUAUUCA